GACGAACGCUGGCGGCGUGCUUAACACAUGCAAGUCGAGCGGAGCGGCGAAGGGGUGAGUAAGGCGUGAGUAACUGCCCCCCUCUCUGGGAUAACAGUUGGAAACGGCUGCUAAUACCGGAUAGUGGGGGAUGACUCGCGUGGUAUCUGCUUGUUGGUGGGGUAGGGGCCUACCAAGGCGACGACGGGUAGCCGGCCUGAGAGGGCAACCGGCCCCAUUGCGCUGAGCUACGGCCCAAACUCCUACGGGAGGCAACAGUGGGGAGUAUUGCACAAUGGGGGAAACGCUGAUGCGGCGACGCCGCGUGCGGGAAGACGGCCUGCGGGUUGUAAACCGCUUUCAGCCAUGACGCGGUAGUGGCAGAAGAAGCACCGGCUAACUACGUGCCAGCAGCCGCGGUAAUUC
rnacentral:rRNA from 1 species